GAGUCUGUGGGAGGGGUUCUACCGAGACGAAUGGACUUUUCUGAGGCAGGGCCCAGGAGCUGUAAUUCGAGGGGCCUCAGAUCUCCCUGCCACCCACCUGCCAGGGCAAGUGAAAUUCCACUGAGAAAAAAUCAGGCGUAUCUAUUCUCUUCCAGGAGUUUGUCUCCCUUUUAAGAAACAAAUGUCCCUUGUGUGAAUGAUUGGAGGCUUUUUAUCCUCUGGUGGCGCCUCCUUCUUUGCAAUUAUCUACAAUGGAGACUGUUUCUUCUCCCUUCUUAGUGAUUACAACUGCUACUUGCAUUCUUUUUUUACUUUCAAGAUCAUGAAGGCAUGUUGUCUCUAUCUUUCCUCUCCUUCAUCCUUUACUUAGUAGUACCGAUAGCACUUUUAACUUACGUCUAGUUAAAAGCCAGACAUCCUGGAUUCAGAUUCUAGCUUGACCACUUAUAAGCGCCAUGAAUGUGGCAAGUUAGCCUUUUUUGCAUCUGUUUCUUUAUCUGCAUAAAGCAAUAACAAUACCACCUACCUCAUGGUUUUUUUCCUGAGAAUAAAUAAUUAUAUACAGUCAUGCAUUGCUUAAGAUCAGAGAAAUGUGUCACUGGGCGAUCAUGAGUUUGUGUGAACAUCAUAGUGUGUACUUACACAGACUCAGAUGGUGUAGCCUUCUACACACCUUGGAUAUAUGGUAUAGCCUAUUCCUGCUAGGCUACAAACUCGUGCAGCAUGUUAUGGUACUGAAUACUGCAGGCAAUUGUAGCACACUGGCCUGGUUGAAGAUGGCUGAGCGUAAAACAGAAUGCAAGUCAGCUGGAGCACGUACUACUGGAGGCAGAGCCCCAUGAGAAGGGGCCAAGAACCCGCACCCAUCAAAAUCAAGAAGAAAGGCUGAACCCGGAGAGAAAAGGGAGCAACUGAUGUUGCCAUGCAGAUCCCUUGGUUGCUAUGAGAUGGUAACAUCACUCUGCCCCACCAUUGGCCAGUGCCUCCUCAGCUGCGGUGCCUCCCAGGCUGUGUGGUUCUCACGCGGGCCACUGACACAGAGCUGUUACUAUGGUGAACUUUACAAUUUCCUUUGAUUGGUGGAUUUCAGAAAUAGGCCAUCAGCGGAAUUCAUUAUAUUCAGCUAAGUAAAAAUGAAAAAUAAAUACUAUAACUUUCCCCUCAUCACUAACAUGAAGGAAACGUGACCCUUCAUGACAUAAUAAAUCGCUGUUCGGUAACUUAGGAUCCUUCAGGGGACUGAAGCGGGAUGAUCCUCCUAUGCCAAAUUUGGGUGGGAAAGAUAUUCCCUGUAGCUUUGAGUCGACUCUUCAGAGUUAAGGGCAGUGGGCCAACCAGAGUUGGAACUUCAGAGUUGGGAGGAGGUGUGGGAUGGGGCAUGCAUUGAAAUGUAAACUCUAUUGUCUCUGAAGUGAUGGGUGAUGCUGGGGGCCUGAGUGUGGAGGGCAGUUUUACAUCUCAGGACAAUGUUUUCUCAGAUGCUCUUCCAGAAAGAAAAGCCAGGAGUACUCCUGGCUGGAGGCGGCAUGCCUGAGGUCAGAGUCAAAGUAGGGUUUGUGCUGUCUGAAUCCUUUCUCCCACUCUCCCCAGCCUGGCUCAGCUUCUCAGCUUCUCAGGUGGAUUGGCCUCUGAGCCCAAGCCAAGCCAUCGCAUCCCCUGUGACUUGCCCGUAUAUAUGCCCAGAUGGCCUGAAGUAACUGAAGAAUCACAAAAGAAGUGAAUAUGCCUUGCCCCACCUUGACUGAUGACAUUCCACCACAAAAGAAGUGUAAAUGGCCGGUCCUUGCCUUAACUGAUGACAUUACCUUGUGAAAGUCCUUUUCCUGGCUCAUCCUGGCUCAAAAAGCACCCCCACUGAGCAUCUUGCGACUCCCACUCCUGCCCACUGAGCACCUUGUGACCCCCACUCCUGCCUGCCAGAGAACAAACCCCCUUUGACUGUAAUUUUCCUUUACCUACCCAAAUCCUAUAAAACGGCUCCACCCUUAUCUCCUUUUGCUGACUCUCUUUUCUGACUCAGCCCGCC
ensembl:lncRNA novel transcript, antisense to PELI1